GACGAACCGUGCGAACGUUAUUCGGAAUCACUGGGCUUAAAGCGCGUGUAGGCGGGACGGCACGUCGGUCGCUGAAAUCCCCCGGCUUAACCGGGGAACUGGCGUCGAUACGACCGCCCUGGAGGGGCGUAGGGGGACCUGGAACUUCCGGUGGAGCGGUGAAAUGCGUUGAGAUCGGAAGGAACGCCCGUGGCGAAAGCGACUUGCUGGACCCUUUCUGACGCUGAGGCUCGAAAGCCAGGGGAGCAAACGGG
rnacentral:rRNA from 1 species